GGAUGUGAGGGUGAUCUGGCUGUGACAUCUGUCACCCCACUGAUCGCCAGGGUUGAUUUGGCUGAUCUGGCUGGCUAGGCGGGUGUCCCCUUCCUCCCUCAACGAUCCAUGUGUGUCCCUCCUGAAGCUGCGCACUCGGUCGAAGAGGUCGAUCACCCCCAAUAGAGGAGGACCGUUCCUCGGUCAAGGGUAUACGAGUAGCUGCGCUCCCCUGCUAGAACCUCCAAACAAGCUCUCAAAAAUCAAUGAUAAUAAUGCGGGCUGGAGAGAUGGCUCAGU
rnacentral:snRNA from 1 species